CACGUAGGCGGCCUUGUAAGUCAGGGGUGAAAUCCCACGGCUCAACCGUGGAACUGCCUUUGAAACUGCAGGGCUUGAAUCCUGGAGAGGGUGGCGGAAUUCCUGGUGUAGGAGUGAAAUCCGUAGAUAUCAGGAGGAACACCGGUGGCGAAGGCGGCCACCUGGACAGGUAUUGACGCUGAGGUGCGAAAGUGUGGGGAGCAAACA
rnacentral:rRNA from 1 species